rnacentral:rRNA from 1 species
CACUUUGGCAGACUGAGUGGCGGACGGGUGAGUAACGCGUGGGUAACCUGCCUUAUACAGGGGGAUAACAGUUGGAAACGACUGCUAAUACCGCAUGACACAGCGAGAUCGCAUGGUCUUGCUGUCAAAGAUUUAUUGCUGAAAGAUGGCCUCGCGUCUGAUUAGCUAGUUGGUGAGGUAACGGCCCACCAAGGCGACGAUCAGUAGCCGACCUGAGAGGGUGACCGGCCACAUUGGGACUGAGACACGGCCCAAACUCC